rnacentral:rRNA from 1 species
CCUACGGGAGGCAGCAGUGGGGAAUAUUGCACAAUGGGCGAAACCCUGAUGCAGCCACGCCGCGUGAGUGAAGAAGUAUUUCGGUAUGGAAAGCUCUAUCAGCAGGGAAGUAAAUGACAGUACCUGUCUAAGAAGCACCGGCUAACUACGUGCCAGCAGCCGCGGUAAUACGUAGGGGGCACGCGUUAUCCGGAUUUACUGGGGGUAAAGGGAGCGUAGAGGGUUUAGUAAGUCAGAAGUGAAAGCCCGGGGCUCAACCGCGGGAUUGCAUUUGAACCUGUGUAGCUAGAGUGCAGGUGAGGUAAGUGGAAUUCCUAGUGUAGCGGUGAAAUGCGUAGAUAUUAGGAGGAACACCGGUGGCGAAGGCGGCCUACUGGACUGUAACUGACGUUGAGGCUCGAAAGCGUGGGGAGCAAACAGGAUUAGAUACCCGAGUAGUC